AUUCGCUGUUCAACAUUGAGCAUCUGCGACACAUCAGCUCCAGUGGAUACAGCAGUGGGGUGGAAAGGCAAUUCUCUGCUCCCAUGGAGCUUGUUCUAGAUUGUCGGGAAGAGGGGUAGAGAGAAAUAAAUAUGCACUAUGUCAAGUGACGGGGAACUGCAGAGAAAACAAAAGCAGGACGGGGAAAGGGAAGUACAACAGGGAGUUGGGCCCUCCCCCAAGUGUGAGGAGAUGGC
rnacentral:lncRNA from 1 species